rnacentral:rRNA from 1 species
CGGAUUCUGGCUCAGGAUGAACGCUAGCGAUAGGCUUAACACAUGCAAGUCGAGGGGCAGCACGGUGUAGCAAUACACGUGGUGGCGACCGGCGUACGGGUGCGUAACACGUAUGCAACCUACCCGCUAUUGGGGGAUAACCCGGCGAAAGUCGGACUAAUAUCCCAUAUUAUUCUUACCAGGCAUCCGGUGAGUCUGAAAGAUUUAUCGAUUGCGGAUGGGCAUGCGGAUGAUUAGCUAGUAGGUGGGGUAACGGCUCACCUAGGCGACGAUCAUUAGGGGUUCUGAGAGGAAGGUCCCCCCACACUGGAACUGAGACACGGUCCAGACUCCUACGGGAGGCAGCAGUGAGGAAUAUUGGUCAAUGGGCGCUAGCCUGAACCAGCCAAGUCGCGUGAAGGAUGAACCAGAUCUAUGGUUUGUAAACUUCUUUUGCAGGGGAGUAAAGUGCGACACGUGUGUUGUAUUGCAAGUACCCUGCGAAUAAGCAUCGGCUAACUCCGUGCCAGCAGCUGC